rnacentral:rRNA from 1 species
CUGGUUGAUCCUGCCGGACCCGACUGCUAUCGGAGUGAGACUAAGCCAUGCGAGUCGUGCGCUCCGGGCUGGCGGAGCGCGGCGUACGGCUCAGUAACACGUGGUCAACCUACCCUGCGGACGGCUAUAACCCCGGGAAACUGGGGCUAAUAGCCGAUAGGGGAUAGGUGCUGGAAGGCCCUGUCCUCGAAAGGCCUAACCACCCAUGCCGUGGUUAGGCGCCGCAGGAUGGGACUGCGCCCUAUCAGGUAGACGGUGGGGUAACGGCCCACCGUGCCUGUAACGGGUGCGGGCCCUGGGAGGGGGAGCCCGGAGAUGGGCACUGAGACAAGGGCCCAGGCCCUACGGGGCGCAGCAGGCGCGAAAACUCCGCUAUGCGCGAAAGCGCGACGGGGUCACUCCGAGUGCCGCCCGCUGAGGGCGGCUUUUGCCCAGUCCAAAAGGCUGGGCGAAUAAGGGGAGGGCAAGUUUGGUGUCAGCCGCCGCGGUAAUACCAACUCCCCGAGUGGUCGGGACGAUUAUUGGGCUUAAAGCGUCCGUAGCCGGCCCGGUGUGUCUCUGGUCAAAUCCGGCGUCUCAAGCGCCGGACCGCCGGAGAUACUACUGGGCUAGGGAGCGGGAGAGGCGGGCGGUAUUCCCUGGGUAGGGGUAAAAUCCUAAGAUCCAGGGAGGACCAUCGGUGGCGAAGGCGGCCCGCUAGAACGCGUCCGACGGUGAGGGACGAAAGCUGGGGGAGCGAUCCGGAUUAGAUACCCGGGUAGUCCCAGCCGUAAACGAUGCAGGCUAGGUGUGUGGACGCCUUAGGGGCGUCCAUGUGCCGAAGGGAAACCGUUAAGCCUGCCGCCUGGGGAGUACGGCCGCAAGGCUGAAACCCUAGGAGGCCCUUAACUGAUAUAAUGAGGAAGGGUACUCCUAGGGCAGCACACUUAAAGGAAUUGGCGGGGGAGCACCACAAGGGGUGGAGCCUGCGGUUCAAUUGGAGUCAACGCCGG